GGGGAAUUAGCUCAGAUGGUAGAGCACUCGCUUAGCAUGCGAGAGGUACCGGGAUCGAUGCCCGGAUUCUCCA
rnacentral:tRNA from 1 species